rnacentral:rRNA from 1 species
UGGGGAAUUGUUCGCAAUGGGCGCAAGCCUGACGACGCAACGCCGCGUGGAGGAUGAAGGUCUUCGGAUUGUAAACUCCUGUUGACCGGGAAGAACUCCCCCGGGGUGAAUAUCCCUGGAGGUUGACGGUACCGGUUGAGGAAGCCCCGGCUAACUCUGUGCCAGCAGCCGCGGUAAUACAGAGGGGGCGAGCGUUGUUCGGAAUUACUGGGCGUAAAGGGCGCGUAGGCGGCCAACUAAGUCGGACGUGAAAUCCCAAGGCUCAACCUUGGAACUGCGUCCGGUACUGGAUGGCUUGAAUCCGGGAGAGGGAUGUGGAAUUCCAGGUGUAGCGGUGAAAUGCGUAGAUAUCUGGAGGAACACCGGUGGCGAAGGCGGCAUCCUGGACCGGUAUUGACGCUGAGGCGCGAAAGCCAGGGGAGCAAACGGGAUUAGAUACCCCGGUAGUCCUGGCCCUAAACGGAUGAAUGCUUGGUGUGGCGGGUAUCGAUCCCUGCCGUGCCGAAGCUAACGCAUUAAG